GCAGUCAGUUCAUCCAUUUUAAUAAAGUCUUCAAACUCUUUUUUAAAUUUUUGUACUGCUUCAACAUCACCUGACAAGCUUUCUCCAGUGAUUGUGAGUUGACGCACUUCAUGCGGUUUUUUCCAUUUGUCCAGCAACCAUCCCUGGCUAGCUGUAAUACUUGGGUCAGAGUUACUGUGCGUAAUUAAUUACUCUUUAUGACGAAACACUUAAAAAAAAAAAAAAAAAACUUUAAAAUGUGUUCAGUUGUAAGUUUAAAAAAAACACGGAAGCAAUUAACAAUUAAACAAACUUCAUAGCAUUCAAAUAGAAAAAUACUUGACAUGCAAAAAUCUUGCAGGCAUUUUGGGGUUAUGAUUUCAUCCUUCCAUCCAUCCAAAGUACAAAAGUACCAAAUUUUGAUGGAUGGAUGGAUUAAAUUAACACAAUAUUACAAUAUAAAAUUUUUUUUUGUACCAUGAUAUAUUAUUUAUUAGCCUAAACAAUAAAAUUACUAAAAUGCUAAGUGUAAAAAAAUGAGGAAAUUGGUUAAUUCUGAAUUAUAUCUUACACUUUUUUGAACAUUUUCAGGGAAAUAUAUUUUCACUCUACUUCAUUUUUUAGAUGUCAUGACACACAUUAGAAAAAAAGUUGCAAAAAUCCAGGUAGAAAUAUAAAAUAUGAGGUAGUCUCUCUUGUAAAUAAAGCCAUCCCGCUAUUUCAUUAAAUAACAAAGCCACACACAGCACAAAGAACAACUUUUUAUUGUUGGUCAUUCAUCAAUACUAUCGAUUCAUGCUGCAGCAGAAAAAAUACAUUCGAGAGAUUAAAAUUUGUCGCUUGUGGUACACAUGUCACCACUCACCACCUCCGGCUAGCUCAAAAUUAGGUGAUGAGUGUACAUACAGGUUGGUAGCAGGUCACGAAUUAAUUUAUACGCAAUGUUGUUUUAAUUCAUGUAAAAAUCACAAAAUAUUUCGCACAAAAGAACACUAAAAAAAAUUAAACUGUACAUCCAGAAAAGAAUAAAACCCGGAGCCAUCGCCCGACCACGGCCUGCUUGGCCCAGCGCUUGAACAACAACCACUCGGCACGGUGCUCGGACAAUGACUGACUUUACAGCCUUCCUUCCCUUUGUGCGGGCAGUGUAAUUCUCAGCCAAUCACAGCGCAUAGCAACAGAAACUUCCACGAAAUUCUUACUUCUGUUCCCACGACGCAGCAAUUUUAUCUCUCUUUCACACUCCCGUGACUGUGACUCACACGCCUAGCAUGUGAAACAAAGCCUCGGUCGUGGAAAAAACGAAGGAGAAUUACGUCAGCAUGCCUUCCCACCAGGGCCUGAUUUAGAGGUCUGGAGGUCUGGAGGCCUCGGGGCAACAGAGGAGCGGAGGCCCCCUGGCCCCAAAUUAUUUUCCAAAUAAAAUGAACAAUUUUUUUCAGUCGAGUUUUCCAAUAAAUAAUAAAUUGUGAAAUCAAGUAGAUUCUCUUAGUAUUUAAAAAACAUACAUAAAUAUAAUCGGAGACAAGAAUUAUAUGAAAUUAAAUUUUAGUGUUAAUGAACGGAACCUUCCGUUUGUGGGGGCCCUCCGUUUGUGGAGGCCCCGGGGCUUUCGCCCCGGUUGUCCUCCCCUAAAUCCGGCCCUGCUUCCCACACAAAGAAGACCGCAAAAAAAAAAAACUUUAAAAAUAAACUUAUGUCUUUUAAAAAUAAAAACGAUAAACACGGAGAAUUACAUUUACAAUAAUUUUAAAAGGAAAAAUUUUUUACAUCUAACCUGGAUUGCAUAGGGAAGGCUGUAAUCUGGGUUGUUACACACAUCUUAUGACAUACUACAUGAUUAAUUCAGAAAUGGCUUCGAUCAGCACACAGGAAAUAGUAUUUGGGGUAAAGCUUUGUAUUUCUACAAAGCUGAUAUUUUGCUUGAUAAGACAAAAAUCUAAAGUUUUUUUUUGUAAGUAUUUCACACUACACUAUUUUUUUAAUAGUGUUAUGUUAGUGAUUCACUGUUGGCAGGGAUUUUUGUUUACCAAAAGAAAAAUAAUAUUUACUGCUAAUUUUCACGAUGAAAAAAUUUAUGUUUUGCUUUCCUGUAGUAUGCAGUGGUCAUGCUAAUCAUAAGCUUUCUUGUACAAAUAUAUCCUCAAUGCCACGAGAUAUUUUAGUUAUGAAAGAAUCUUGAUAAGAUUUUAUUUAUGAACAAGUCUUGAUACGAAUCCUAUGUUGAAUCUUGUGAACGCUCGAAUCUCAUGGCUUUGAUGGAUUCGUAGAAUCUAAAAUUUGGUUGCGCCAUCCCUAAAAUAAUUUCAGUUUUAACUUUCGAUAUUCAACCUCCAAAUGUGAAUAGUUUAUUAAUUGCACAACCCUAACAGUUAAAUAAAUUUUUGCCCUGGUUGCCAGCCCGAGGUUGCGUUCCUGAAUUCCUGAGGCCUUUAUUUUUAAUUUUCGUAUGAAAUCAGAAGUGUAAGUGCAGUGUCAUUGGUGGUACAGGAUCAAGCAGCAUGAUCACCAACGACCAGAAGUUGAGCCUGUGGUCGAUGCUGAAGGCGUGGUGGACGACCAAGAACGUCAGCCCGACCGACCUCAUCAUGAAGAACCGUGUCGCGGCCGGCUUGCACCUGGGCCAGCUCGUGGAGAAGGACCCGGUGAGAGUCCGCCAGGCCGUCAAGCAUCUGUUCGAACUCUACCAGCAAGGGAAGAUACGCCCGAAAAUAGACUCCCAGUGGCCGUUAGACAAGGUUGUGGAAGCAACUAAAGUCUUGGCAGAAAGAAGAAAUGUUGGCAAAGUUCUCCUUACCAUCAAUGAUGAAAAACCAAAACCACAAUAGUGUUAUUAGUGGCAAAUCUAGCUAACAUUUUUUUUUCUAAAAAAAUAAGUGAUUAGCAUAAUUUUUUACCCACUAAUUAUAUUUUGACACAAUCUUUUUAUGCUGUAAAAUGACUUAUUCUAAGAAAUACAUUAUGUAUUUCUAAGAAUUCAAGUUAUAGAAUUUUAUGUUUGUAGUUUGAAAUUCACAAAACUAACUGAUUUCAAUGACAAAAUAAUUACUCAACACAACUGUGUUACAACAGAUGUCUCUUAAAUAAAUACUAAUAUUCCCUCAAGAUAAUGCAGAAUUGGUUCAUGCUCCCAAUAUUAAAAGCCUUAGAACCUCACUCUAGCCAGUCCAUUCCUUGCAAAUUCCUGGUAAACUGUGAACAUCACCAACCAUAGCUGUGACAUGCUUAUUGAACAUGGUCAAUGCAGCAUACGUAAACUCUAGCAGCCUUUGUCAAAAAAAAAAUUCUUUUACCUUCCAUAAUGCUUAGUUAUGCAUGCCAAAUUUGCUAUUUAAUUUCCUUGUUAUUAUUAUUUGAGGGUUUUCCCCAUGGUACAACAGCUUUCCUGUACAAUGUGUUGAGUCUAAAAUUUUCUCAAUAGAUAUUAGAUUUUAAAUCGCUUGCAUUACCUUCCAUAACUAAAUAACGUUAAGUAGAUAUCUGGUGAUAAAAAUUGUGACCCGACAACAAAUGUAAAGAGCUAUGAAAUCAGCUUACAGGAAAAUCCCUAAAUAAUAGAAAUGACAAAGGGAGCGUUCAAGUAUUACGUAACGCAAUUUUUUGAUAUUUUUGACCCCCCCUCCCCCCCAUGUAACGCGCCGUAACGUUUUUCUGUACCCUCCCUCCCCCCUAGUAAAAGUUACGUAACCCCAAGUGACCAUUUUUACCUCAAAGUCACAAUUAUGUGGCGUAACGUACCGGAAUAAGUCACUAAAAUACCUUUGUUAUUGUUUUAAUCGCGUUAAUGUUAUUUAACAUUUGAUGUGUCUUGCUUUUAAAAGCAAGAGCUUUCUAAUGUUAUUUUUUUGUCCUAAUAAAUUUUUACUACUCAAUCAUACAUUUAGCAAUCAUACAUUGAAUUACGUCGUUUUCCUGACUUGGCUCUGUCCUUACUCACUUUUUGCUUUAUCCGCCAUUGUUCUUCUCAUUCAUUCUCCUAUUUUAGCGUUUUACUAAUAAAGCUAUUAAAAUCAAAUAACAAAUUUUAUUUCUAAUAAUUAUUUUUACCUUUGGCAAUGCAAUUACAAACAUAAAACUAACGUGAAAUAAAAUAUAUUUGUCAAAAUAUAAUAGUAUUUAAGAAUACGAUCGAACGAAAACGAAAAACAUUUAAAAUAAAAUUAGCCAUAAUUAAAAUAAGUAGAUUGUAAAAAAAAAACAAUUAAAUUGGAGUUUUACUGCUCCUCUGUCCAUGGGUUUGCCAGCCACUCAGAUUCUUUCAUUACUGGCAUCCGGAGAGCAGACGAAGAGGGUUCCGGAAUUGUUAACCCGCUUGCAUCAACUUCGUCUUCGUCGAGCCAAUCGGCAUCCUCAGACGAUGUUUCACAGCAAUGCACAAUGCAGAGAAGCUCAUUUGCCCUUUUUGCAGCAAGUCGCUGUGGCCGUACUCGACUUUCACGAAGGUAUUGGGCAGUCUUGCCAUGCAUGUAACGAUUGUGCAUUUGCUCACUCUUGUGGGAUGUAAAAUAAAUCCCACAGGUUGAACAUACUCGGUUCUUUAGGUCGGAUUGUACUGAUGGGCAAAAUAAAUCGUAAGGCAUCUGCUUAAACCCUUCUAGAGGAGGCGACAGUUCAACAGACAACCUCACAAGAAGUGGCGAAAACUUGCAUGAUCCUUUGUCUAUGUGACUAGGUACCACGAGCUUGUUUGCGGUUUGAAGGAUUGGGCAGGGUGGCGGCAGGAAAGUUUCUGGAAAGACAGAUUUUAAUGCACUCCUCAAGCGGGAACAGCAGGAUUCAUCCACGCAUUUAAUAACUUGCAAAAAAUAUUGCGAUUCACGGACGUGAGCGCUAUACCACGCCAUAUUAGGUUCUGCUGGAUCCUGCAAGCUAUCUUCAGGGUUUCUAUAUUCCGCCGAAACAUCGUAGUUGUCAAUUUUCAUACAGUCGGUCGAGUGCUUGGAGCCCAUAAACUAAAAGGGUUGCCAUCUUGGGAGAACAAAAUACGAACAAUUCAAUCGGGAAUCCCCCGUAAAAAAUAAACGAAAAGGGUUGCCAAUUUGGGAGAUUUUAAUUUACUAGUUUUUUUAUUAACCUUUCAGACCAAUCGUCUUUCAUACCACAACAUUACUGUUGUGAUGAGAGAAAAUGUCACACAUAGAAAACAGUGUAUUUUGAAUAUCAAUACCUAUAUAAUUUCUAAUAUGGCGAUUGGAGUCUACGUUGACAACCAAAGUAUAACGAAGCCAUCCGAAUAGCGGUAUUUUUUUGUUUUAACUACUUUAUUGGAGUUAAAAAAACAUUAUUCACUAAUCCUGUAAAGCAACAAGCAGAAGCAAUUUUGUAAAGGUAAAAAAAAAUUUAAGUUAUCAUUACAUUUGAAAUUUUGAGAAAAAUUUUUUUUAAAAAAUGUGUGAAAGAAUCUGUCUCUACGCGACCGUUCUGAAGGGUUCAAAAAAAAAAAAAAGACUUAACGCGUAGGUCAAACCCCCUCCCUCCCCUGUAACGCAUCGUAACGUUUUAAAAGACCCCCCUCCCCCCCAAAUUCGUUACGUAAUACUUGAACGCUCCCAAAAUUAAAUAUUCAACUCGGUAUGAGACCAAGCCUUACAUAUGUAGUUAAUUCAAGAAGAUAGCCUAUCUGAAAAUGCAUUACCACCAUUCACUUUAUAAGUGUUAUAUUUUUAAUCAUGAUAGAAUAACAAAAAUGUAACUGUUAGUUUAGUAUUUAUAGAUCAAAUAGUGUCUCAUACCUUAAUAAAAUAAGUAAAUUUACAACACAAAAUUGAGUAACUGAAUAUUUUAGUCAAUUUAACACAAAAAUUAUGAAAUACAUAUGCAAAGUAACAUACCCUCUUUUAUUGCAUAAUCGUCGCACCUAUAUUUUAGGCCGUCAAAAUUGGGACAAAAAAACUUCUUGCGUAAACGUCGCAUGUUGUUUUUGGUCCCGCUAUUAGAUGCCAAGCGCUUUGUGUAGGUAUCUUUUCCAUAAAAAACUAUGUAUUUUAAAGUAGAAAUGUAAUAUUUAUUCAGACAUUACCAAUUACUUAUUUAAUUAACAAAAAUACUAAGUUGUCUGACGUGUAAAUUUUCUUUUAAAGACGUUUUCAAACGUUUCGACCUUUAUCUGUUCGUUUGCGUCAUUGUGAUGUACCAUUUAAAAUAAUGUAGAAAGCGCUAGUUGGCAUCAUUCGUGUUUGGUUAUGUUGCUUCCCAUAUAGAGCACGCACACGUAGUCGAAUAUCGAUAUCUCGCCAAUUGCAUGCAAUGUGCGCUCUCUGUCAAGUGCCGAGUUAACUACAUUUGAUGGCUCGCAUUCUUUCGUGGCAAGUGUGUACUACGACAAUUGUUACACAUUAGUUCACGUCACAGAUUCAAGUGGCUUGCGUUUGCGUCACAGUUUUGGUUUUUUCUAUUUAUAGUCAAAGAAAGGUUUUUGUUGCACGACUAUUAAUUAAAUUGUUUGGCAUGCUCUUUUAAACUUCACUUUUUAAAUAAACGUACUGUCCAUGAAUGGGUUUUGUUUUCAUAAAUAACUUUAUCUAACAAUUUUUUUUUAUCGUAUAAUCAUCAUACCCCUACUUUUCAAACUUGAUUUUAGAAUAAAAUGUACGAUGAUUAUGCGAGAAAACACGGUAUAUAGUCCAUAUUGUUUAUAGUCCAUAUUGGUUGAACAGCUCACAGCCAUUACAUUAGCAUGAGAGUUAAUAAGAUGUGAAAAGUACUUGCAUGCUACUAAGUGACACACACAAGCCGAAUAGGUAAAACAAAUCCUGCAUGAAUGUGGAAUUGCUAUGUUUUUGUCAACAAAACACCCCCAAUUUGAAAAGAGUGAAAAGGGGGGGGGGGGGGGGGGGGGGGGGAGUUGCAAUUUCAUACACACUCAGGAAAGGUCACAAACGUCAAAUUUUUCAGUGUGUUUGUGUUUAUCACUUAAAAUUUACUGCUCACGAGUGAAACUUCUUUAUCACCUUAACAUAACAAAUGACCUACACACUGACAGAGGCUUUUAGUAAGUGUGUAUGUAGGUAGUUUGUUAUGCGCUUUACAUUUUAAAACAGCCUAGUCAUAUUGCCAAAAUGAGUACAGUAGAGCCCUGUUAUAAUGUUUUUCAAGGGAGCACAAGAAAAAAACAUUAUAAGCAGGAAAACGUUAUAAGCAGGAAAUCUCAAUUUAGCACUUAACAGUGUUCGAGCUUUGUACCAAUGGACUCACCAAGCUAUGUAAACAACUUUAAUGUUAAAACCAAAGAUAGUAUACUUGAUACAUGAAUUUUCUGAAACAAGCCAACAAUUUUUCAACUUCGUCUUGUUCCCUGGCAAAAUUUUGUUUUUAAAGAUACACUGCCACAUUUUUUGUAAAAUUAUCUCACGAUUCAUGAUGACAACAUUAAGAGUGAGAACGUCUACUCCUUCACCACCUGAAAAUGUUUAAUUUUGGGAUUCCUACAUAUGAAUGAAAAAAAAAAUUAUUUGUAAGCAAUAGAAAACACUUUUAGUAAUGCCCUCGCUCAAUGGUUGGCAAUUUAAAUAUCGUAGGACUAUGUACGUGAAUCUGAAUACCCAUUGGAAUGGCAAGGAAGAGAAGAGUUGACUGAGGGUGCCAACUGACACAUAACUAUGAACAUUGUGUACCUUCAGUAUAUUGCAUAAAAUUGUAUUUUAACAAACUUCGUGUAUUGUAUGGCAAAUGGCAAUGAUUGUAAACAUAAACAUACAUAAAGGAAACUUUUGAUCAUAAGUGUUGGAAUAAUUUGGUUUUAAAACAUUUUUUUUUCCAUUUAUUGAAUGUUAGAAAGCAAACAUUAUAAGCAGGAAAUUACACUAUUUAUGAACGUUAUAUGCAGGAAAUAAAUACAUUGUCCUUAUGGGGGAAAUAUUGGGACUUUAAAAAUAUGACAUUAUAAGCUAAGCAGGAAAACAUUAUAUGCAGGAACAUUAUAACAGGGUUCUACUGUAUAUAAUAAAACCAAUGCCAGGUAUCUUGCUAUGUUUGUGAUAAUGAAAAAAAUUAGGAGAACUCACUUUUGUGUCUCAGAAACAAAAUAAAUAUCAAUAAGAUUAAAAAAAAAGCAAGGACACACAAACAAGAAUAACCUUUCAAGUUUUUGACCACACAUAGGCAUACAGCCAUAUGCAGAAAUCUUUUUUUUUUCUUGUUAGGGUCCCUGAAAUUAAAAAGGUAGCCUCAAAUACUCUGCAAGAACCAACCUGCAACCUGCCUUCUUAAAGGUGUCCUAAAUUUUAAGUAAAGAAUGCUGGCAGGAAUCUGACCGCCAGAUCAGAGCCUUAAGGCUUCCUAAAUCAAGAUGGGGUACGAUUUUUCAAAAUACCAAGCUGGUUAAUAAAACCUCUACGUUAAUUUAAGAGAAAUUGAAUGUGUGCUGCUUGUAAAUACUAAUGAUAACUUAAAAUAACGUGUAAGAAGUUCGGAUGCAUAUUUCAUUAAAAAUAUUUUAGUAUUAGACCACUACAGAAUCUAGCUACAUUUGUUUACAUCUGACAAGAUAUUUAAUUAAUGAUUGAAUGAACAGGUAAACAUUUUGUGAGUGUUAAUGCUAUAAAAUAUCAUCGUGGAAUAAUUUUAGGUUUCAGGGAGAGUUUUGGAUGUAAUAUGUAGCAGACCUGCCAACAAAAUCUGAUUCCAAAUCCUGUUUGUAGAAUUUAAAAGUCCUGUAAAAUCCUGUAAUAUUCAAAAUCUAAAUUCACGUUAGGUUUUGCAGUAAUUUGACUGUACAAAGUAAAAUAGUAGGGGUAAAUGUUGAAAGUACAGGCUUAUUGAAACAGAUAAAUUAAUUAAAUAAAUUUUAUGUUUAACAACCAGGUGCUGCCAUCUGUGGCGGAUAAUGCAAAAAAAAAGUUCACAAAGACGAAAAGAAACUUUAUAGAAUUGACUGUUUGAUGAAUUUCAACAAGACGGACAAAAUUUUAAUAAAAUUCCAUGUCAAAAAUCAGGUCCAAAAUUGGGGUUAAAUAUUAUUUCUCAUUUUCGCUUUUAUCAAGCCAAUUCAUUAUAUUUAAAAAAAUUUUGCUCUACAAAUUGAAUGAUUUGAGUUACUGUAUCUGCUCUGGCAGUGAAUUCUAGUGGCAGGUGGGGAAACUACGUGUAAUUCGCUCCAGAGAUGUAAAUGAAAACACAAAUUGUGUAUAUUUUAUCACGCUUGCCAUUAUUUUUAAGAAUUCUGCAUUGAAUUUUGUGUCCGAUUUUUGUAUUAUAAGUGUAUUUACAUCACGUGGGACACAUGAAAUUCCUCGUUACCAGGUUAAAUGUUAAAACAUCAUUGGUGAGUACUGAAUGACUUCUUUUUAUUUUUACUUUCCUAAUAUGCAAUGUCUAUAAGUUUUUUCUUUAACUAAGAAUGUAAUUUGCAACUAUUGAAUAAAAAGUAUGUGAUUCAUUUUGUCAGAA